rnacentral:rRNA from 1 species
AUUGAACGCUGGCGGCAGGCCUAACACAUGCAAGUCGAGCGGAAACGAGUUGUCUGAACCUUCGGGGGACGAUAACGGCGUCGAGCGGCGGACGGGUGAGUAAUGCCUAGGAAAUUGCCUGAUGGUGGGGAUAACCGAUUGGAAACGAUGGCUAAUACCGCAUAAUACCUUCGGGUCAAAGAGGGGGACCUUCGGGCCUCUCGCGUCAGGAUAUGCCUAGGUGGGAUUAGCUAGUUGGUGAGGUAAUGGCUCACCAAGGCGACGAUCCCUAGCUGGUCUGAGAGGAUGAUCAGCCACACUGGAACUGAGACACGGUCCAGACUCCUACGGGAGGCAGCAGUGGGAAUAUUGCACAAUGGGCGCAAGCCUGAUGCAGCCAUGCCGCGUGUGUGAAGAAGGCC